AACACAGUCCAGGAGCAGGAAUGUGGAGGAGUGAGUUGUGUCUGAAAACAAACUGCUGCUUCUUCUCUCUCUCCUUCACUCUCUGGAACAAGUCUUAAAGGUGCAAAACUUAUUAUUCAGCACAAACAGAACAAGACAACUGGGGAUAAAAGCAUCAUAUAGUCAACCUAUAACACUGCUACACUCAGGGAGAACAGAGCAAGUUCUGUGAGGCAAAGUGGUGAGUGGAGAGUGAGGGGAGAUGGUCUGUCAUUCUGACCUGUUCAGAGUUUCUCUGGGAUUUAACCUUUCUCAGGUGGAGGGUCAUCACCUUCCAACCUUUCCCUUAAAAAGUGACCAGGUGCUGCUGAGAGCAGAUGGAUCCACCACAGCCCAGCUCCACAUUUGUAGACAAGGACUCACGUUGCUCAUUCCACCAACCCAGCAGCAUUUUCAGUGUCACAACACCUCUGCCUUUCCCUGUCAAUCUUAUAACUCAGAGAUGCCCUAGGACAGAUUUGUACCCUGGACUGAAGUUCCCAGCUUGGGCUGAAAUCUCAGGGAGACUUCCAAGUGUUCCUAUGAUGGCAUUGGAUGAAGGGAGAUGCAGCUCCUUCCCUGGCUGCACUGACAGCAUUGCUCAGAGCCAGGCACUGGGGACAGCGUCACCCUGAGCCAGCUGUGCCCCCUGCCAGAGCCCCCAGGGCCGGGCAGCUGUCCCAGCCCUGUGCUCUGCAGAGGGAACUGGGCCUGGGGCUGCAGAGCUGCCCCACGGCUCUGCUGCAGCUCUGCCUGCACAGGAGGGGCUGCACGCCUUGGAGCCCCGGCCCUGAGGGCAGAGGCUUGGCUGGGGGCACAGGAGGGAGGGGGCUUUUUCAGAGGGAGGGGCUGAACUGGAGGAGAUCCUGUGGACAUCUCUGAUCUCUCCCUGCGACAGCAUUUCUGAGUUUGGUUUUCUCUCAUUGCCUGAUCUUCUCUCUUCCUGGAGAUUUUCCUCCUGCAGGUGUUUCCCUGUGCCUGAUCUCUCUGUGCCAGCAUUCACAGACCCUAAAUCUCUGGGCACUCUCCUUGGCUUGACAGAACCCUCCCUGUUUGCAGGGCACUGGCUGGGGCAGGUUCUGUUUGCAGCUUGGAAAAAGGACAGCUCAGACUGAGUCUGAUGGCUCCAGCAAAUGUGAUUCUUGGGCUGUCCAUGGGCAGAGUGGCUGCUUUGGCGGGGCUUGACAGCUGGCCUGCAAGCAAAGCUGAGUUAAUAGAAGAAAUAACAAUUGAUGAUUUUCGGUGUAUCCAUAGCAAGGAAGAAGACAAGGCCGUCAGCAUGGAAACCGAUUAGAAAAGAUACAUGAGAGUUUUUGUAACCUAGACUACGUGCCUAAGUGGAUGUGUAUACGUGCCUUAUUAAAUUUCUGUAAAACUUUUGCCAAUUAUAUUGACACUGAUUGCUUGGCACCAAUGAAUAUAAAAAGUUAUUGUGAUGUAGUUAAUAACUUAAGAUCACGCUUUGUUAAGGGUGUAUGAACUGGAGAAGAUGCAGAAUAAAAACUUUUUUUCUUCCUGGACUUUGGUCACGUGUGUAUGUCACGUCUGGCCUAAAGGUGACAUUUGGUGCUACCCUGACGUGAUGGAACUGCCGGGCGAGGGGCAGUGAGCACAGAGCCCAGCGAAGCUGAGAGCAGCGGGGAGCAGCUGCCAGUCCAGACCUGAUUCUGACACCUGGAAAAAAGCCCUUCAAGGCCUGAGUGAAUACAACAGCCCCUCCUGCAUAAGCAUAUUUGUUCAGGUGAUGUUUGAGGGAAGAGCUGCAGAACGACUUUCAUCUGCUGGCUCAGAAGAACCAGUGUCUCUUUAAGACCUCCAGAUCCCUUGGAAGGUGAGACCACCUGGAGAGCAGAGGAGAUCAGCUGGAGCUCCAGGCACAGCUGAUGACUGGCACAGCUGAGCCUGUGGGAAGCUCCCAUAGCUCCUGCCUUCUCUCUUGCUGUUGACAGCCCUCAGAACCUGCCCAUUCCCUUUCUUCCCUCCCAGCUCAUCCCUUUGCUUUGCCUUCCAUUAAUAAACUGUUUGGCUUCUUUGCUUUACCUGCA